CCUACGGGGUGCAGCAGUGGGGAAUAUUGGGCAAUGGGCGCAAGCCUGACCCAGCAACGCCGCGUGAAGGAAGAAGGCUUUCGGGUUGUAAACUUCUUUUGUCAGGGAAGAGUAGAAGACGGUACCUGACGAAUAAGCCACGGCUAACUACGUUCCAGCAGCCGCGGUAAUACGUAGGUGGCAAGCGUUGGCCGGAUUUACUGGGUGUAAAGGGCGUGUAGCCGGGUUGACAAGUCAGAUGUGAAAUCCUGCGGCUUAACCGCAGAACUGCAUUUGAAACUGUUGAUCUUGAGUACUGGAGAGGCAGACGGAAUUCCUAGUGUAGCGGUGAAAUGCGUAGAUAUUAGGAGGAACACCAGUGGCGAAGGCGGUCUGCUGGACAGCAACUGACGGUGAGGCGCGAAAGCGUGGGGAGCAAACAGGAUUAGAUACCCCAGUAGUC
rnacentral:rRNA from 1 species